ACUCCUACGGGAGGCAGCAGUGGGGAAUAUUGCACAAUGGGCGCAAGCCUGAUGCAGCCAUGCCGCGUGUAUGAAGAAGGCCUUCGGGUUGUAAAGUACUUUCAGCAGUGAGGAAGGCGGGGUACGUUUAANAGCGUGCCGUUUGACGUUAGCUGCAGAAGAAGCACCGGCUAACUCCGUGCCAGCAGCCGCGGUAAUACGGAGGGUGCGAGCGUUAAUCGGAAUUACUGGGCGUAAAGCGCAUGCAGGUGGUUUGUUAAGUCAGAUGUGAAAGCCCGGGGCUUAACCUCGGAAUAGCAUUUGAAACUGGCAGACUAGAGUACUGUAGAGGGGGUAGAAUUUCAGGUGUAGCGGUGAAAUGCGUAGAGAUCUGAAGGAAUACCGGUGGCGAAGGCGGCCCCCUGGACAGAUACUGACACUCAGAUGCGAAAGCGUGGGGAGCAAACAGGAUUAGAUACCCUGGUAGCUACG
rnacentral:rRNA from 1 species